rnacentral:rRNA from 1 species
AUGGGCCUACGGGGGGCAGCAGUGAGGAAUAUUGGUCAAUGGUCGGGAGACUGAACCAGCCACGCCGCGUGAGGGAUGAAGGUACAGAGUAUCGUAAACCCCUUUUGUCAGGGAGCAAAGUCGGGGACGUGUCCCCGGAUGAGUGUACGUGAAGAAAAAGCAUCGGCUAACUCCGUGCCAGCAGCCGCGGUAAUACGGAGGAUGCGAGCGUUAUCCGGAUUUAUUGGGUUUAAAGGGAG